ACAGUCACACAUUAGAUACCCGUGUAGUCCUAGCCGUAAACGAUACUCGCUAGGUGUCGGCCACGGUGCGACCGUUGUCGGUGCCGUAGGGAAGCCGUGAAGCGAGCCACCUGGGAAGUACGGCCGCAAGGCUGAAACUUAAGGAAUUGGCGGGGGAGCACAACAACGGGUGGAGCUUGCGGUUUAAUUGGAUUCAACGCCGGAAAUCUUACCGGGACCGACAGCAACAUGAAGGCCAAGCUGAAGACUUUGCCGGAUUAGCUG
rnacentral:rRNA from 1 species